GUGCGUUCCAUUAGGUUGUUGGCGGGGUAACGGCCCACCAAGCCCGCGAUGGAUAGGGGUUCUGAGAGGAAGGUCCCCCACAUUGGAACUGAGACACGGUCCAAACUCCUACGGGAGGCAGCAGUGAGGAAUAUUGGUCAAUGGGCGGAAGCCUGAACCAGCCAAGUAGCGUGAGGGAUGACGGCCCUACGGGUUGUAAACCUCUUUUAUGCGGGGAUAAAGUGCUCCACGCGUGGGGUUUUGCAGGUACCGCAUGAAUAAGGACCGGCUAAUUCCGUGCC
rnacentral:rRNA from 1 species